rnacentral:lncRNA from 1 species
UCCGCUCCCAACCACGCUCGCCCCUCCGUAAGUUAUGUUUUUCUCCUAUCAGAUCCAAGAAAUUGAUAAUUGUUUUGGAGUACAGAUGAUCUAUACGUGAUUGAAACCUUGGUCUCUCCUAAACAUGUGAUUUGUUAAAUGCUUAGAAAUGAAUUGGCUGUGCAUCCGCACAGUUCUUUGUGAGCUGCAGAUUUAGACUUAAACUGUACUCCAUCCCAUCAGGUUGGAACAGGAUUUUCUAUUCAGUACCCAGACUAUUUUUUAAUUGUGACCUAUGUUAGAUUUUUGGUGCAAGGUAUAUAGAGAUCAUGAUCAAGACUAGAUAUUAUUAAGCAGAGAAUUUCUCAAGUCCCACGCUCAAGCAACUAAUUGGAAAACUACUUGAAACGCUGGCUAGGUAGUGACUAGCGAUAGCAAUUCAGUGAACCUACCAUGGACGGCGCCACGGCAGGAUCAGUGGCUGCAUGUGGCACUGUACCGAUUCUCCAGCCUCAAGGUCGCAACAUGUUGUCCCGACACGAACUCAAUCGUACUCCGCAGGCAGAGUGCAGCAGCACUGGGUGGCACUAGCGGCGCGACGCUCAUAGCAGUUUGGCUAGCUAGAAGAUGUACAUGACCGGGAAAAGGGCACCAAAGGUAUAAAUUUUCUUUUCUGAUUUUCUGUGUUUGUGUUGAUUUCUCAAUUUCAUUUUUUUGAAUUUCAGUGGAGCAAAGGCAUAAACUGUAGACCAUAUACAUUAUUUCUGUGUACAAGAGCUAUGGACUACUUUAAUUUUUCAUCAUGUUUUUAAUGUUUGAGUUUGCCCCACCUUGAUUUUUAUUCUUCCUCCGCCACUGCCUACCAUGGUCAUAGAUGAGACUGACCGUGUGAAGUAGAGCCGUAGAUGACACGGCCAACUCAGAUUUUGUGCAUUACAUGGUCUCUUGGCAGUUUUAGUUUCCUCUUAAAAAUAAUACCAUUGUGUUUAUGUUGAAUACUAUUUGGGUGUUGCAAGGUAAUAAUCACUAGAACAAAAUUUGUAAUUUAGCAUGUUUAGCGCAUUGUGGUUGUGAGUACUUGUCUUUUAGUUUAAGGAAUUUGUGUGCUUGUGGCCACUUGCAGUUUAACAUUUUUCAAUUUUUGCUCAGUUCUCCUGUAGUUAUUUGAUUACCAUUUUGACCUACAUCAUUUGCAAAUAUUUAUAUUUACUGAUUUUCCCAAUUUUUUAGGUUCGAGGGGAAGCCAAAAUAUGGUUUAGAUCAAGAGAAAAGAAUUGGACAAGAUAACACCAGUGAGGCAAUGCAUAGUUACCGCUAGAGGAAUUGGUUUUAAAAAUGUUUUUGGCACCCCCAAAUUUACCAAUGAUUGCAAUAGAUCAGUUUCGACAUAUACUACUAUUAGAAGAUGAUACAACUUUUAUUACUAAAGUUGACAUCAAAAUUGGAAGUUGCAAGUCAUUGUAUGGUUCUAUAAAAUGCUGUUAGUUUGGUUUGAUGGGUACAUCUUCAUCUCUUCUUGGACAUUUUGUUUCUUUGCUUAGUAUAAAAUGUAUUGCAUGUGUUCAUUAUUUUUUAAUUUUUCCCAAAUAUACUACAGACCCUCAAUAGGGUCAUUAUUUUUUAAUUUUGCCUAAACAUACUACAGAUCGUCAUGUGUGGACGUGUUUGCAAUUGCCACAUGCUCUCUGUACCCUCAAAUACAUA